GACGAACGCUGGCGGCGUGCCUAAUACAUGCAAGUAGAACGCUGAAGGAGGAGCUUGCUUCUCUGGAUGAGUUGCGAACGGGUGAGUAACGCGUAGGUAACCUGCCUGGUAGCGGGGGAUAACUAUUGGAAACGAUAGCUAAUACCGCAUAAGAGUAGAUGUUGCAUGACAUUUGCUUAAAAGGUGCAAUUGCAUCACUACCAGAUGGACCUGCGUUGUAUUAGCUAGUUGGUGGGGUAACGGCUUACCAAGGCGACGAUACAUAGCCGACCUGAGAGGGGGAUCGGCCACACUGGGACUGAGACACGGCCCAGACUCCUACGGGAGGCAGCAGUAGGGGAUCUUCGGCAAUAGACGGGAGUCUGACCGAGCAACGCCGCGUGAGUGAAGAAUGUUUUCGGAUCGUAAAGCUCUGUUGUAAGAGAAGAACGAGUGUGAGAGUGGAAAGUUCACACUGUGACGGUAUCUUACCAGAAAGGGACGGCUAACUACGUG
rnacentral:rRNA from 1 species